rnacentral:rRNA from 1 species
AUACGGGGGUUGCAAGCGUUAAUCGGAAUUACUGGGCGUAAAGCGCGCGUAGGCGGUUUGCUCAGUCGGAUGUGAAAGCCCAGGGCUCAACCUUGGAACUGCAUACGAUACUGGCAAACUAGAGUGUGAGAGAGGAUAGUGGAAUUUCCGGUGUAGCGGUGAAAUGCGUAGGUAUCGGAAGGAACAUCAGUGGCGAAGGCGACUGUCUGGCUCAACACUGACGCUGAGGUGCGAAAGCGUGGGGAGCAAACAGGAUUAGAAACCCUAGUAGUCC